ACAGUUAUCAUUAAUUGGCGAUAAAAAUCUAGCUGAUACAAUUAAAAAUAAUUUGCUCUUACUGCCAACAGACACUAUUUUGUCAGAAACAUGAGUUGUCUAAAGAAGAAAAAAAAGUUUAAAGAGUUGGCAAGUCUAUGUAACUCUCUCACUGAAGCUGCUUUAAAGUCAAAUGAUAACUUAACCAAAAUGGAUGCUAUCCAACUUAUUGG
rnacentral:lncRNA from 1 species